UGGGGAAUAUUGCACAAUGGAGGGAACUCUGAUGCAGCGACGCCGCGUGAACGAAGAAGGCUUUCGAGUCGUAAAGUUCUUUUAUAUGGGAAGAUAAUGACGGUACCAUAAGAAAAAGCCCCGGCUAACUACGUGCCAGCAGCCGCGGUAAUACGUAGGGGGCUAGCGUUGUCCGGAACCACUGGGCGUAAAGGGUUCGCAGGCGGAAAUGCAAGUCAGGUGUAAAAGGCAGUAGCUUAACUACUGUAAGCAUUUGAAACUGCAUAUCUUGAGAAGAGUAGAGGUAAGUGGAAUUUUUAGUGUAGCGGUGAAAUGCGUAGAUAUUUAAAAGAAUACCGGUGGCGAAGGCGACUUACUGGGCUCAUUCUGACGCUGAGGAACGAAAGCGUGGGUAGCAAACAGG
rnacentral:rRNA from 1 species